AUUGAACGCUGGCGGCAUGCCUUACACAUGCAAGUCGAACGGUAACAGGUCUUCGGAUGCUGACGAGUGGCGAACGGGUGAGUAAUACAUCGGAACGUGCCCGAUCGUGGGGGAUAACGAGGCGAAAGCUUUGCUAAUACCGCAUACGAUCUACGGAUGAAAGCGGGGGAUCUUCGGACCUCGCGCGGACGGAGCGGCCGAUGGCAGAUUAGGUAGUUGGUGGGAUAAAAGCUUACCAAGCCGACGAUCUGUAGCUGGUCUGAGAGGAUGAUCAGCCACACUGGGACUGAGACACGGCCCAGACUCCUACGGGAGGCAGCAGUGGGGAAUUUUGGACAAUGGGCGAAAGCCUGAUCCAGCCAUGCCGCGUGCAGGAUGAAGGCCCUCGGGUUGUAAACUGCUUUUGUACGGAACGAAAAGCCUCUUUCUAAUAAAGAGGGGUCAUGACGGUACCGUAAGAAUAAGCACCGGCUAACUACGUG
rnacentral:rRNA from 1 species